CAGGGUCUUGUUCUGUUGCCCAAGCUGGAGUGCAGCAGCAUGAUCAAAGCUCACCAUAACUUCAAAUUCUUGCGCUCAAGCAAUCCUCCCAUCAAGGGAAAUAGGCUGCCACAGAAGAACAUGAAUCUCCAUUUCUGGAGGUAUUCAGGUGGAGGUGGGCGCCCUCAGAGAGGGGAUGCCAAGUUCUGCUAGUGGCCAGCCAGGCUGGAAAAAGCCUACUGUCUUGAAGAGCCUAUGAAUCCGAGCCACCUCCCCACAUGCCCUUCCUGGCCACCCUGUUCGCUGGUGAUCCUAUCCUUUCAUGAAGCUCAUCGGAAUUAACUGUUUUUCUUUCUUCGACAUUAAGCUAGUGCAUUGUUGUGCAAAAUCAUUUGUCUUUUUUACACGUGCCCUGCUUCUCCCCCUGUAACUGAUCAGCUUUCUGGGAGUCACGGACUAGAUCUUACACUUUUAUAAGUCCCUGGUGCCUAGUUCUGUUCCUACUCAUGAGAGUUGGUUAAAGAUAACUUAUGGACAAUCUGUGAGUGGCCCUGUGGGAGACUGAUGAAAAUAAGGCCUUGAAUCUUGAAGUACUAUAAAUCAGGAAGCUAUAUUAAGUAUUUCUUAUUAUUUAUCCAGACUUAUGUCGAAUAUGGAAUUUUAAAAAGGAACUGCCUGAAGGCUAACUCAGCACUCACCAUGCAAGCACUGGCCCUUCAUCUGUGUUUAUUGCUGAAUUUUCUUAUAAGGCCACAUUUUGUACUUUUUUCUUGAUUUUAAAAAGUAAUUUAUUUUGAAAUAAUUUCAAACUUACAGAAAGUUUGCCAGAAAAGUACAAAGAACUCUUUCACCUUCAUAUACACUCCUCAGUAGCUAAUAUUUUACUGUAUUUGCUUAUUUUCUUCUCCCCCAUAUACAAUAUAUGUGUGUAAAUAUAUAUAUGUAUAUAUAUAUGCAUGUGUAUAUAUAUAUAUAUAUAUAUAUAUAUAUAUAUUUGUGUACACACACACACACCCCUUCUCCCUACCAUAUACACACAAAUACACCUACACACACACACAGACACACACAUAUACAUAUAUACACAUAUAUAUAUAUGGUGGUGUUUGCCUGGCUUCUCCAUCUUAUUCUUACCAUUUACACCCUUGUAACUUAUGAGUAUUUUGGCUGGCUACCAUGGCUCAUGCCUGUAAUCCUAGCACUUUGGGAGGCUGAGGCAGGCAGAUCACUUGAGGCCAGGAGUUCCAGACCAGCCUGGCCAACAUGGUCAAAUCCUGCCUUUACUAAAAAAAAUACAAAAACUAGUUGAGUGUGGUACACCUGUAGUCCCAGCUACUCGGGAGGCUGAGGCAAGAGAAGUGCUUGAACUCAGGAGGUGGAGGUUGCAGUGUCGCACCAAUGCACUCCAGCCUGGGCAACAGAGUGAGACUCUGUCUGAAAAAGAAUAAUAAACUAAAAUAAAUAAAUAAAUAAUGAGUACUUUGUGGGGAGGUAUUCAAAGAUUACACCAGUACCUGAUGGUCAUCAAACUUGUACCCACCAGCCUUAGAAUCCAUUAAAGACUCCUUCCUGAAUUAGUGGCUUUUAUGAUGGUUGUCAAACGGUGAUUCUCCAUUGCUAUCUUUCCUUCUACAUAUAUCAGCUGACAUUCUACUCUAAGGAAGAGUGUUCCCCUCUCCCCCAUUUAUUUAUAUACUUACUUACAUUAGGAUAAAUUCAUGGCUUCUUUUGACAGGUGGUAAUACAUUACUAUCAUUAUUUACACUGAUGCUCAAAUUGUCCCCAUUUUGGCCACUGGGAGUCCUUUUAAGUUGGGCUCUUCGUAUGUUUUACAUUUUACUAUUAUUCAUUAAGUGUUUCUUUACUUUCUGGUCCAGUAAGGUUCACAUUAUACUUUUUUUCCUGCAAUAGUCCCAGAAUCAGUCAUUUUGUCAGGGAGCUCUGGUUCUUUUUAGUGGAGGAUGGCUUUGAGAACUAAGAGGUGGAGACCCAAUGUGCUCAUUGUUACUGAGGGUCAUUGAUCCUAGGCCUUCUCAGCAACAGAGCUGGGAAAUAUCUAUGUGUGUAUACAUGUAUAAUACCUACACAUCUAUAAGUAUUUCUGUAUCUUAUCCUGAAAACAUUUCCUAAUUUGCUUAAUCAACUUACAUUUUGUUCAGUAUAACCAAUCUGCCAACAUUGCCAGCUGUCUCCUCUGCCCACCACCUCUAUACCCACCCACAGCCAUGUCUCCAUAGAGCUCUCCAACCUACCUCACCAUUCUGCAUCCUCACUCACUGUGAUUACUCUUCUGUGCCAGACAGGAAAGGGAGGGUUGCUCAGAUUGCUUUAGUACUUAAAAUGUAAAUAUUUAAAAUGAAUACUCCACAGAACAAUAAAAUAAAAAAGAUGGCGAAUACUAAUUCUAGAGCAUAUGCCAUUUAAAAAUUAAAGUUUUAUGCUACUUAUAAAAAGAAGAAUGAAUAAAGAAAAUGUAUCAGUUCCCUAAAAUUUAAACAUUGAGUUUCUGCAUUUCACACCAGGGAGAAAACCUGAAUUAAUACUUUCAUAAAAUACCUAUUGUCAGGAGCAAGACAUUACUUAAAAUUAUAUUUAGUUUUUAGAGAAUAAUUCAUCCUUAAAUGGGAGAAACAUUAAUUUUAUAAUUACUAUUCUCCGCUGGGUCAUUAGGAUCUACAUUUUGAAGGAGCUAUCAAAACAAACAAAUGGAAACACCACAGUUUCCAGUUUGUUCUGUUCCUCCUGAGUUACUUUUCAGAAACAAAUCCAUUCUGUUAGGAAGGUAAGGAGGGAAGUAGGAAAUGAUGGAUGGGGUUGGUGAGGUUAUCCUUGAGAAAUCUACAUAUACUUAGCUAAAAGUCCUUUUCAGGUGGUUCCGUUAUUGCUACUUUUGAAGGUGCCAUUUGUUCUAUUUGCUGAUUGUCUCUUAUGGUGGCAGACUUCCUCAAGGUCUUUGUAAUUUUGGUUUGGGAGUUCAUCUUAUAAGCGAAGUUUUUUCUUCCUCGUGAGCACCCACUUCUCCCUGUUGUGUGGCUGUAAAGGCCUGUAUCAGGUUAUGUGAAAAAUGUGCAGUUUGCACUUCACGGCAUAGCAAAAUAAAGGACAUUGCAC
rnacentral:lncRNA from 10 species